UAAAUAUUUAUUUUUGUCUGUGUACUAAAUCUUAGUAAAGGCUUUUCACUCAGCCUUAUCAUAAAAUUUAGAUUUUUGUUGUGUUUCAAAAUUCUUUACUAGACAGCUAUAAAAGCAAAAAACUAUUUUAAUUUCGAAUCAUUACAAUUCAAAAUUUUGUCAGUGAACUAAACACAAAAUGCGUUUCCUCGCUAUUCUUAUCGCCGUUGUCAUGGCUAUUGUUUUGGUUUCGGCCGAUCCAUGCAUGAAACCAUGUGCCAGAAAUUUUGACUUUGUUUGUGGACAAUUUCCCGAUGGUACCAAAAAGGCCUUCUCCAAUCCUUGUGUAAUGGAAAUUGAAGCUUGCCAGAAAGGCGUUGAAAUUACUCAAUUACACCGCGGAACUUGCGAUAAGCCAGUAUAUGAAUAGAAACUUAAACAGUGCUUGUGAUUUUGUGGAUUAUGACUUGAUUAAUGAAUAUGUUAGUGAAAACUUAAGCUCGGUAAUAAAUUGUUUAACAAUAUAUUAAGAAA